ACCAGACUCCUACGGGAGGCAGCAGUGGGGAAUAUUGCACAAUGGGGGGAACCCUGAUGCAGCGACGCCGCGUGGGUGAAGGAGUAUUUCGGUAUGUAAAGCCCUAUCAGCAGGGAAGAACAAUGACGGUACCUGACUAAGAAGCACCGGCUAAAUACGUGCCAGCAGCCGCGGUAAUACGUGGGGGGCAAGCGUUAUCCGGAUUUACUGGGUGUAAGGGGAGCGUAGACGGCGAUGCAAGUCUGAAGUGAAAGGCGGGGGCCCAACCUCCGGACUGCUUUGGAAACUGUAUGGCUGGAGUGCAGGAGAGGUAAGUGGAAUUCCUAGUGUAGCGGUGAAAUGCGUAGAUAUCAGGAGGAACACCGGCGGCGAAGGCGGCCUGCUGGACCGUGACUGACGUUGAGGCUCGAGAGCGUGGGGAGCAAACAGGAUUAGAUACCCGCGUA
rnacentral:rRNA from 1 species